rnacentral:rRNA from 1 species
ACUCCUACGGGAGGCAGCAGGCGCGAAAACUUUACAAUGCUGGCAACAGCGAUAAGGGAACCUCGAGUGCCAGGUUACAAAUCUGGCUGUCGAGAUGCCUAAAAAGCAUUUCAUAGCAAGGGCCGGGCAAGACCGGUGCCAGCCGCCGCGGUAACACCGGCGGCUCGAGUGGUAACCGUUAUUAUUGGGUCUAAAGGGUCUGUAGCCGGCCGGAUAAGUCUCUUGAGAAAUCUGGCAGCUUAACUGUCAGGCUUUCAGGAGAUACUGUCUGGCUCGAGGCCGGGAGAGGUGAGAGGUACUUCAGGGGUAGGGGUGAAAUCUUGUAAUCCUUGAAGGACCACCAGUGGCGAAGGCGUCUCACCAGAACGGACCUGACGGCAAGGGACGAAAGCUAGGGGCACGAACCGGAUUAGAUACCCGGGUAGUCCUAGCCGUAAACGAUACUCGCUAGGUGUCGGCCACGGUGCGACCGUUGUCGGUGCCGUAGGGAAGCCGUGAAGCGAGCCACCUGGGAAGUACGGCCGCAAGGCUGAAACUCAAAGGAAUUGACGG